UCAGGCCUAACACAUGCAAGUCGUACGGGAAUUUUUAAUUCAAGUGGCGGACGGGUGAGUAACACGUAAGAAUUUGCCUUUAGGAGGGGGACAACAACUGGAAACGGUUGCUAAUACCCCAUAUGCUUUCGAGUGAAAUGGAUUUUUCCGCCUAAAGAGAAGCUUGCGGCUGAUUAGCUUGUUGGUGAGGUAAUGGCUCACCAAGGCGACGAUCAGUAUCUGGUUUGAGAGGAUGAUCAGACACACUGGAACUGAGACACGGCCCAGACUCCUACGGGAGGCAGCAGUGGGGAAUUUUCCGCAAUGGGCGAAAGCCUGACGGAGCAAUCUCGCGUGAGGGAUGACGGCCUAUGGGUUGUAAACCUCUUUUUCAGGGAGGAACAAAAUGAC
rnacentral:rRNA from 1 species